AAGCAGCAACUGCAAGGUGGAGGGGGAGGCUAGGUGGGCAGGCUUUGUUGGAGGGAGAGACCCGAGGAUUUGCAAUUGUGGAAGUAAGAAAUGUGUAUUUGGUAUAGUGGGCGAGGAUGUGCGAUUAUGGGAGUAAGAAAUUUGUAUGGGUAAUAAUUGGGCAUUUUAGAAAAUAAUAAUUUAUUAGAAGAAUAUAUCGUGCAAUUUUAUUCGUGAAAAAAUUCAUAUGGAUGUUAUUUUU
rnacentral:lncRNA from 1 species